UCAUGACCCCUUGCGCACCCCAGGUGCACACAGGCUGACUCUGAGCUGGCUGUCUUCGGCCAAGUUAGGGGAUAGGGGUUGGGGUUUAAAGAAAUUCCCUUCUAUGACUUCCAAGUGCCUCCUGAGAGCAGAAGCCCAUGCUGUGUCCAAGGCCCACCUCAGUAAGAGGGUAGGCACCGCCUCCAGGAAGCCCACCUCCAAAUCCCACCGCCAGGCCCCCAGGCACACGUGGCUGGGCACAGAGCAGGACUCCUAGGCCCCAAAGCUGCGGCCCCAUGAGCCCAAAGACACACACCCUGCCUGCCAUCCACGCCCCUCCUGGGCCCCUGGACUCCGCCUCUUGCCAGCAUGAGCCUUCCCGGCUGGACCGCAGUUUGGCACGGGGCUUGGCUUAUCUUGUGCUGUUCCUGGGACACAUCAGAUCCACGAUUUUAUUCUGCAGACAGUUUGUUCCUCUUACAAAUGAGCUGUGUUCUCAAAGUCGACAUUUUAUAAAUCAAUGAUCUGCAACUCAAA